rnacentral:rRNA from 1 species
UACGUAGGGUGCAAGCGUUGUCCGGAAUUAUUGGGCGUAAAGAGCUCGUAGGCGGUCUGUUGCGUCGGCUGUGAAAACCCGGGGCUCAACCCCGGGCCUGCAGCCGAUACGGGCAGACUAGAGUUCGGUAGGGGAGACUGGAAUUCCUGGUGUAGCGGUGAAAUGCGCAGAUAUCAGGAGGAACACCGGUGGCGAAGGCGGCGACCUGGGUUGACACUGACGCUGAGGCGCGAAAGCGUGGGGAGCAAACAGG